rnacentral:rRNA from 1 species
AGACCCGAAACCCGGUGAUCUAGCCAUGGGCAGGUUGAAGGUUGGGUAACACUAACUGGAGGACCGAACCGACUAAUGUUGAAAAAUUAGCGGAUGACCUGUGGCUGGGGGUGAAAGGCCAAUCAAACCGGGAGAUAGCUGGUUCUCCCCGAAAGCUAUUUAGGUAGCGCCUCGUGAAUUCAUCUCCGGGGGUAGAGCACUGUUUCGGCUAGGGGGCCAUCCCGGCUUACCAACCCGAUGCAAACUGCGAAUACCGGAGAAUGUUAUCACGGGAGACACACGGCGGGUGCUAACGUCCGUCGUGAAGAGGGAAACAACCCAGACCGCCAGCUAAGGUCCCAAAGUCAUGGUUAAGUGGGAAACGAUGUGGGAAGGCCCAGACAGCCAGGAUGUUGGCUUAGAAGCAGCCAUCAUUUAAAGAAAGCGUAAUAGCUCACUGGUCGAGUCGGCCUGCGCGGAAGAUGUAACGGGGCUAAACCAUGCACCGAAGCUGCGGCAGCGAACGUAUCACUUAAAGCGAUUCAGCGGGUUACGAUUGACGGAGCGAAGCGACGUCAAAGCGUAUACAAAGUCGAGUCGGUUUAAGGAUACGUUCGUUGGGUAGGGGAGCGUUCUGUAAGCCUGUGAAGGUGGCCUGUGAGGGUUGCUGGAGGUAUCAGAAGUGCGAAUGCUGACAUAAGUAACGAUAAAGCGGGUGAAAAGCCCGCUCGCCGGAAGACCAAGGGUUCCUGUCCAACGUUAAUCGGGGCAGGGUGAGUCGACCCCUAAGGCGAGGCCGAAAGGCGUAGUCGAUGGGAAACGGGUUAAUAUUCCCGUACUUGGUGUUACUGCGAAGGGGGGACGGAGAAGGCUAUGUUGGCCGGGCGACGGUUGUCCCGGUUUAAGCGUGUAGGUGUGUGUUCCAGGUAAAUCCGGUUCACUUUAACACUGAGGCGUGACGACGAGGCACUACGGUGCUGAAGCAACAAAUGCCCUGCUUCCAGGAAAAGCCUCUAAGCAUCAGGUAACAUCAAAUCGUACCCCAAACCGACACAGGUGGUCAGGUAGAGAAUACCAAGGCGCUUGAGAGAACUCGGGUGAAGGAACUAGGCAAAAUGGUGC